rnacentral:rRNA from 1 species
AUACGUAGGACGCAAGCGUUGCUCGGAAUCACUGGGCGUAAAGCGCGCGUAGGCGGCUUCGUAAGCCAGGGGUGAAAGCCCCCGGCUCAACCGGGGAAUUGCCCUUGAAACUGCGGAGCUUGAGUGCGGUAGAGGGAGACGGAAUUCCCGGUGUAGCGGUGAAAUGCGUAGGUAUCGGGAGGAACACCGGUGGCGAAGGCGGUCUCCUGGGCCGCCACUGACGCUGAGGCGCGAAAGCAUGGGGAGCGAACAGGAUUAGAAACCCUAGUAGUCC